UUCGGAUUGUAGUCUGNAACCCGACUACAUGAAGCCGGAAUCGCUAGUAAUCGCGGAUCAGAAUGCCGCGGUGAAUACGUUCCCGGGUCUUGUACACACCGCCCGUCACACCAUGGGAGUCGGAAAUGCCCGAAGUCGGUGACCCAACCGCAAGGAGGGAGCCGCCGAAGGCAGGUCCGGUAACUGGGGUGAAGUCGUAACAAGGUACC
rnacentral:rRNA from 1 species